GAUGAACGCUGGCGGCGUGCCUAAUACAUGCAAGUCGAGCGAACGGACGAGAAGCUUGCUUUUCUGAUGUUAGCGGCGGACGGGUGAGUAACACGUGGAUAACCUACCUAUAAGACUGGGAUAACUUCGGGAAACCGGAGCUAAUACCGGAUAAUAUUUUGAACCGCAUGGUUCAUAAGUGAAAGACGGUCUUGCUGUCACUUAUAGAUGGAUCCGCGCUGCAUUAGCUAGUUGGUAAGGUAACGGCUUACCAAGGCAACGAUGCAUAGCCGACCUGAGAGGGUGAUCGGCCACACUGGAACUGAGACACGGUCCAGACUCCUACGGGAGGCAGCAGUAGGGAAUCUUCCGCAAUGGGCGAAAGCCUGACGGAGCAACGCCGCGUGAGUGAUGAAGGUCUUCGGAUCGUAAAACUCUGCUAUUAGGGAAGAACAUAUGUGUAAGUAACUGUGCACAUCUUGACGGUACCUAAUCAGAAAGCCACGGCUAACUACGUG
rnacentral:rRNA from 1 species